UUUGGCCCGGGUGAUGGGGUACCACCAAUUCAACCGCCUCUUUGCAAAGGCUGAUGACUCCUACAUGGGU
rnacentral:ncRNA from 2 species